AUUGAACGCUGGCGGCAGGCCUAACACAUGCAAGUCGAACGAGUGGCGGACGGGUGAGUAAUGUCUGGGAAACUACCCGAUGGAGGGGGAUAACUACUGGAAACGGUAGCUAAUACCGCAUACCAUCGGAUGUGCCCAGAUGGGAUUAGCUAGUAGGUGGGGUAAAGGCUCACCUAGGCGACGAUCCCUAGCUGGUCUGAGAGGAUGACCAGCAACACUGGAACUGAGACACGGUCCAGACUCCGACGGUAGGCAGCAGUGGGGAAUAUUGCACAAUGGGCGCAAGCCUGAGGCAGCCAUGCCGCGUGUAUGAAGAAGGCCUUCGGUGUGUAAAGUACUUUAAGCGGGGAGGCGUUACCCGCAGAAGCAGCACCGGCUAACGCCGUGCCAGCAGCCGCGGUAAUUC
rnacentral:rRNA from 1 species